rnacentral:rRNA from 1 species
UACAGAGGGGGCAAGCGUUGUUCGGAAUUACUGGGCGUAAAGGGCGCGUAGGCGGCCCGCUAAGUCGAACGUGAAAUCCCCGGGCUCAACCCGGGAACUGCGUCCGAUACUGGUGGGCUUGAAUCCGGGAGAGGGAUGCGGAAUUCCAGGUGUAGCGGUGAAAUGCGUAGAUAUCUGGAGGAACACCGGUGGCGAAGGCGGCAUCCUGGACCGGUAUUGACGCUGAGGCGCGAAAGCUAGGGGAGCAAACGGG